AGUGUGUUGAAAGUAAUGAGCUACUGGAGAAAGAACUUCACACUUUACAUUUUUAAUGUGCAUGUUGGCAGGUUCAAGGUGUAGAUGUGAGUGAUUUUACUCAUGAAGAAGCCGUAGAGGCGAUCCGUAGAGCAGGAGACAAAGUAGAACUACUAGUACAGAGUCCUCAGUUUUCAGCUCCUGACAACUGCUCUGAAGAUGAAAAUGUGUCAAAAUUAAAUUCUCCAAAUCAUCAGGAUCCCGAGAUCCCGAAUAAUCUCUCCCCAAUCUACCCCUUCAGUCUCAUCCCCU
rnacentral:lncRNA from 1 species